rnacentral:lncRNA from 1 species
UUUUGUUCUAAGAUAGUAUAAUAUUUUUUUAUUUAAUACAGUGUCUUUUUAGCAUGCACCUCUGUAAGAUAUUUGUCUGCAGGUAGCAGUCAACGAAGGAAGAUCGUGGUUCAUUAACUAAUUAUAGACAAGACAUACAACUCACAUGUGUUUGUAUGCCCUAGGUCUUAGUCCUUGAUGGCUGAAAAGCAUAGAUAUAUAAUUAUGCUCACUCAAAUCAGUCAAGCUAUGUGAUUUACUAUCGUUUGGAGCAUGGAGAUUCGCUGAAGGAAACAAGUUUCAUAUCUUUUCACUGAUUUUGGCUCUCUUUUUUGUCUCACUUUUUCAUAUUUCAUACCUUAAUUAUCAUGACACAUUUUCUUCUACCACCAAUCCGCAUUCACACUGUCCCCUGUUCCUCAUCUCUGACAUGUACUAUAAAAACCCAAUUCUACUAAUAAGAUGAGCAUCUUCCUUGAUUCUAUGGACCCCUCAAUGCACAGUCAUAUC